rnacentral:lncRNA from 10 species
AUGGUGAGGAGUCUCAUUUUUGCAGAAAACACAUUCCAGGGGCUUUCCACUUUCCUCCGAAUGUCCUAACCAGCUUAACCAUCAGGCAGUGACUCGAUCUUGGCCCACUGCAACCUCCGUCUCCCGGGUUGAAGCGAUUCUCCUGCCUCAGUCUGCCGAGUAGCUGGGACUACGGGCGCACACCACCACGCCCAGCUAAUAUUUUGUAUUUUUAGUAGAGACCGGGUUUCACCACGUUGGCCCGGAUGGUCUGGAUCUCCUCACCUCGUGAUCUGCCCUCCUCAGCCUCCCAAAGUGGUGGGAUUAUAGGCGUGAGCCACCGCACCCUUCUACAGCAAAUAUUAGUUUAUUUAUUGUAACUGUUGACUAUUAGUAUUAAAAAAAUUCAGACUGAAGUUUUCCUGCAAUCAUAUCUAUUUCGAAAAUUGUCUACUUAACUUGAAGAAAAUAAGAAUAGAACAAGUUAUAUAAAUUUACCAUUUUGCAGAUUCUGCUGAAUAAAGGGAAAAACUAAUACCUUCUAAAAUCAAACUACUGGCUAAAAUUUUGAGAAACAUCAAUAUUUAUAAUAGGAAAGAUGUAAAAUGAGUAAGUUUUUUCCAGCCUUAUUGAAGUAUACUUGGAAAGCAAAAAUUGCAUAUGUUUAAGAUGUACAAUAUGAUGUUUUGGCAUUUGUGUACAUUGUGAAAUUAUUACCAGACCAAGCUAAUUAAUAUGUUCAUUAACUCACAUAGUUGUGGUUUGCUGGUGUGUGUGUAUGAGUGUGAUAAGAACAUUUAAGAUCAACUCUCUUAGCAAAUUUCAAGUAUAUAAUAUAGUGCUACUAGCUAUAGUCAUUAUGCUAUACAUUACAUCUCCAGAAUUUAUUCAUCCCAUAUGGCUGAAUGUUUGUUCACUUUAACCAAAAUCUUCCCAUUUUCCCCAACCUUCAGCCCAUGGCAACCAUUAUUUUACUCUCUGCUUUUAUGUUUUAUUAUAAGUAAUAUUAAUUCAGAUUAUUUGGGUGUGAAGAGGUUUUUUGCCUUCAUUGUUUAUUAUACUAUGCAUGAUGCAGCAAGUUUAGAGUUUAAAAUUGAAAGUCUAGAAAGAUAUCAAGUAAAAGAAAAUUAUUUUCAUUUUACAUUUUAAAAAAUUAUUGGAAUUUGCCUAGAAAGAAAUAGAGAACUAUAAAAAAAGACACUUUUUCCUAUUUCUACCACAAAAGUAAAUUUAUAUAUAUGGUAUACCAAAAAGCAACAGUUUAUUAUUCAUGACUAUAUAUUAACCAUCAGUGGUAUAGUAGGACAUUGAACAGAAAGCAAAAGAAAUUGUUAUUGGUUUUUUCAAUAUAUAGACUUGCAUUUUUUUCUAUUUAAUACAUUGGGAAUUAGUUUUAUUAUUUAAAAAUGUAAAAAUUGAAAUGUAUAGUACACUGUUAUUAGCUGUGGUCACCAUGCUGUGCAGGAGAUCACUAAAACUUAUUUCUCCUUUAACUGAAGCUUUAUGUCCUUUGAUUAUGAUCUUCCUUUUCACCAUCUCUUAUCCUCUCUCAUAUCCUUUCUCAUCUCUGUAUCUAUGAGACCAACUUUUUUAGACUACACACAUAAAUGAGAUCAUAUAGUAUUUGUAUUUCUGGGGAAAUCGCUAAAGUAGUAGAUUUUUAACAUUCUCACCACACAAAAAAAUUGGUGAGGUGAUGGAUAUGUUAAUUAGCUUGAUUGAAUCUUUCUACAAUGUAUACAUAGAUUAAAGCAUCACAUUGUACCCCGUAAAUAUACACAAUAAAAAUUUUAAUGUAAAAAUAAAAUAUAUUAUCUUUAAAAAUCUUAUCAAGUUUUUGAUCCAAUUGGUAAGCAUAUUAAUCAUAGAAAAUCCAAAAAAUAUUUAAAAUGAACAGCUUUUAAAAAAUUUAAUUUACUUUAUUUCUUGAAGGAAAGAAAGCUAAAAUUUAGCAGUAAAUAUUACUUUAAGAUCUGUAACGCAUCACUAAAAGUAGUAUAAUUACUAGGAUUAUAUAUGAUAUUUUGAAACUUUGGAUGGCGAUAAAGGGGAAAAGGAGUAAAAAUGCUAAAACUUUCUCCACAUAUUUAUGAUAUUUUUAAAAGACACAUUUCAUACAAUGGAACUUUAGACUAAAACACCAGAAGUAACAAAAAAUAAUCUCUCGAAAAAUGAAGUGGCAGUUAUGAAGUAGUCAGUCCAGGACAAAACUUUUUGAAAUAUACCAGAAGAGAAAAAGUAGCAUUUUUGCUUACCCAAAUAAACAAAAAUAAAAAAAAGAUUAUGACAUGUCCAGCACAUGCUAAAUACUACUUAAGCUCUCAUUCUUUCUGUUAUUACUAUUAUUAUUUAACAUUUUUAAACAAACAUUUAUAUUAGCAACAAAAGUUAAGUACAGAACUGAUCACUUACAUUUUUAAAAUAUUGAAAAAAGUAAUCUCUGUUCUUUAAUGGCAUUCACUUUCUCUAAGUAUGACCUUGUGACAAGUUACAAUGGAAGACAUAGGACGCUUUCAGAAUGUUAUUUCUCUCUUCUCCAAAGAAUACAAAAAUGAAUAAGCUAAUCACAAUUAUGAUGGUAGCUUUAGUUAUAUAUGUAAUUGACAAAUAGUGAUUGAAGGCUUAAACCAAUUUCAUAUGAAUAAUUACCAUGUAAAUAUCAAAGUAGUUUUUUCUUAAUAAAUACUAGUCUUACAGUGUAUUUUAAUAACUAAUUGCAUAAAAUUUUCUGAUAUGCUAAUUUGACCAAUUGUUCAAUUUUCAUAAAAUGUUUAAUAUAUUUUUCAAUAGAAGAAAGACAAAUAAUUAUUGAAGCAGAUGACUUUUAUAAACAUUAAAUUAUAGAAUUUUAAAUUAUUUUUACUUCCAGAACUUGAAAAAUCUUAAAAGGCAAAAAUUUUACAUCCAGUAAUCCUUUAUCCUAUUCUGUAAAGACCUCCUACUGUGCUUUACUAUUCUAAGUGAUUUGCUGUCACAACAUUAUUUAGGAAAUUAAAAGACAGACAUGAGUUUUUUUCACAUUUUUUAGAGGGAUGGAAUGUUACUACAUUGCUGAGGCUGGUCUUGAACUGGCUUCAAACAAUCCUCCUGCCUCUGCCUCCCUAGUAGCUGGGAUGACAGGUGCAACCCACUGUGCCUAGUGAGACAGAAGUGAAUUUAAAUACUAGAACAAAGGCAUAGAAAGACUUGCAAUAUAUAGUUUCAAUAAUCUGCAAAAUCUUCCUCUAAGCGUAUAUUUACAUUAUUGAUGGGAAUAUUUUCUUCUCAUAUCUAAUCCUUGCCUAUCUAUGAGUUAUUAUUCACAUAUGUAUAAUCAAUUGUAAAAGACAAAAUA